rnacentral:lncRNA from 1 species
AGCGCGCCCGGAGUGAUCCGGCUGCGGGCCAGGGUCUGGGAAGGGGGUGGUGGGUCGCCGUUUCAUCAGAAGCCGGAGGACGGGCGCCAGGGGGCAACUUCCUACAGGAGGGCGUCCCGUUAGAAUGACAGGGCUUUUGCAAAAGUCUGACACCCGUGGCACAGAGCGCCCCAGAUAUGGAGGGUUUCACAGUUGACUCUUGAACAAUGUGGGGGCUUGGGGCACCAACCCCCUGUGCAGUUGAAAAUCGACAUAUAACUUUGACUCGCCAAAAACUUCACUACAAUAGCCUGCUGCCAACCUGAAGUCUUACCAAUAACAUCAACAGUCAAUUAAACAUAUUACUAGGCUGAAAAGGAGAAGGAAGUGAAGGGGUUGGUCUUGCCGUCUCACGAGUGGCAGAGGCAGGAGAAAAUCCAAAUAGUAUAGAUGUUCUUCAGGCUGGAUGCAUAUUGCCAGAUUUGAAUACUAACCUUUUAGGAAGGUCUGGGAUGUUUCUCUUGCAUGCCUCUGGAAUCAAAUGACUCUGAUACUGCAAGCACUUCAGAGUAUGUAUAAGCAAUUUCAGCUGGUUCCGUCCUGAUAUUUACAAAACUGCCUGGAUCAUACUUACAACCAUGCAAUGAUAUAUAUUUCUAUUAAGAAAGCAACGAUUUGCUUGAAAGAUGAAGGAAAACAAACUAAGUAUUUAUGUACAAUGAGUCCUAAGUGUACACCACUAUGUUUUCCAUCAGCUUUUGAUUUUCUGUCACUCCUCUUUUUCUUUGAAAUUUAGAGUCAGAAGUGAACUGACUUCAUGGUUUUCCUCAUGAUUAUUUGAUAUCCUCUAGGGAAUCAUGACUUAAAGACUGCAUUCUUCCUUCUCAAAACUCAUGUUAAAGAUUUCUCCAUGCAGAGCCACAGGCUAUUUUGGAGUUUGAAAUGGAGCAGUUAAAACUAGGAGGUCACACACGUUGAGAUUAUUCCUUCACUGCAUCUCGCCCGGCUUGUGUGCCUGAGGAGACACGCAUCUCAGAGGGCAGAGGGGCAGCCGUUGUCUAGUGAGGUUAUUUCACCUACUAUAUAAUAAAAUGUACAGGACAAUAGCGCA